UGAGCGAAGUGAGCUGUGGUCUGAGACAACAACAUAAAAAGAGGCUCAGAGCGGUCUUCUAACCUUGGUAUUUUGCUCCCUAAUCAGACACACGGGCCUCCCUUGCCUUCCUCAUGGCAGACAUCUGGAGCAACGAGGCAUGGGGCCCACCUGGCUCGGAUAAUCCCGGUGAUGAUUCUCACCUCGGCUAGUUCCCCUACAAAUCGUUGCUGUGGCUAGCAAGAAAAGCCCUUUUCUGCAUCCUCAAGAGGGUUUCGCUCCCGGUGGCUAGAGGGUGAUAGGGUUUUUUCUCCCGGUGCGCGGCCGCCUAUUUAACGCGGCGCGGAGGGCAGCUGGGCGGCGCUGAUGGCAGCCUGGGCCGGCGAGGCGCGGGACGCACCCAUGUUCCCGGCGAGCACGCCCCACCCAUGCCCGCAUCCUUACCCGCCCACGGCAGCCAAAGCCGGGGAUGGCUGGAGGUUUGGAGCCAGGGGCUGCAGGCCCGAGCCCCCCUCCUUCCUCCCCGGCUACAGACAGCUCAUGGCCGCGGAGUACUUUGACAGCUAUCAGCGAGCGCAGCUCAUGGCCUUGCUGUCGCGAAUGGGUCCCCGGCCGGUCAGCAGCCGCGACGCUGCGGUGCAGGUGAACCCGCGCCGCGAUGCCUCGGUGCAGUGUUCGCUCGGGCGCCGCACACUGCAGCCUGGACGGCGCCGAGCCAGCCCCGACGCCCGGCCUGGUUCCUGCCAACCCCGCAGCCCCGCCAGGGCCGGGAGACCCCCGCGAUCCUGGCGCACCGUCGCCCUGUACUCGCCCGUGACCUUCGGUGGCCUCUCCUCCUCGCUGGAGGUUGCGGGGGACAGGCAGACGCCCACGAAGGGAGAGGGGAGACCGGCACCCACGGGGACCCGGGAACCCGAGCCGGGAGAGGUGGCAGUGAUGAAAGCAGUCCCCCAGCCGCAGAGCGAGGAGGGCGACGUCCAGGCUGAAGGGCAGGAUGGGCAGGAGCAGCCACCGCGGGAGGACCCGGACAGUGUGGCGGCGAUGCAGUCUGAGCCCGGGAGUGAGGAGCCACCUCCUGCUGUCGAGAUGGCUCAGGACCCCAGUGACGUGGCUGCCUCUAGAGACCGGGCCUCCCCACAGAGCACUGAGCAGGACAAGGAGCGCCUGCGUUUCCAGGUGAGGCCAGCCUGGCAACCUGGACGCUUCCAGAAUUGUAGGACUCCUUCGGGGCUAAGCUAGUGGUUGUGGCUGAUGCAGGGCAUAGAAUUCUUCAAUGCCCUCAGUCUGUAUUUAAAAAAAAACCCCAACCGCGUAUGGGUGUUUUGAUUGCAUGUAGUGUCUGUGCAUUUCGUUGGAGUGGAGAGAUGGGAGCGGAAGAGGGCGUCAGAUCCCCGGAACUGGCGAUUUACAGGUGGUUGUGAGCCACUAUGUGGGUUUGAGGAACUGAAUUAGGGUCCUCUAGAAGAACUGUGUUCUUUAACAGCUGAACCAUCUCUCCAGCUCUUCAGCUUGUAGGAGCUUGCAGCCGCUGCCAGUUAAUACAAUGGGAGGUGUUUACACAAUAAAACCAACCCCUACGUGGCCUGACCCACUGGCAGUCUCUGUUCUUGGGAAAUGACUGUGUAGUUGAUUCUGGUCACAUCAACACUACAAAUGAAGCCUCCGCGGCGAACGCACACCAGUCCAGUUUGGACCGUACUUCAGAUGGCUGAAGGAAGAUAAGAAAACACACAGCAGAAUAUCAUCAUGUGAACUUGGUCGCACGAGAGAUUCUUAGAGCAGAAGUACGGCUACUAUCACUGCAAAGACUGCAACAUCCGGUGGGAGAGCGCCUAUGUGUGGUGUGUGCAGGGCACCAGCAAGGUGUACUUCAAACAGUUCUGCCGCGUGUGUGAGAAGUCCUAC